ACAGCUGCUUGGGGCAAUCUGUGCCAGGGCCUGCCCACCCUCACAGGGAAGAUAUUUUUCCUAACAGCCAAUUUAAACCUCCUCCCCAUUUGAAACCAUUCCUCCUUGUCCUGUCUCACCAGGCCCUUGGAAAUAGUGUCUCCAUGUUCUGUUGCAGGCUCCCUCAGGUCCUGGAAAGCUGCACUUAGAUGAUUCCAAAGCCUUCUGUUUUCCAGGAUGGACAAUCCCAAUUCUCUCAGCUUUUCCUCAGAGGAGAGGUGCUCCACCGCUCCAGUCAUUUUGCUGGCCUUCCCAUAUAUACAUAUACAUAUCUAUAUAUCUAUAUAUCUAUAUAUAUCUAUAUAUGUAUAAUUUUUUCUGCAGGAGCAGCCCUGGAGCAGCCCUGCUGGUUGCAUGGGCAGCACUGGGACUGACAGAAGCUUCCCAGAGUGACAGCCCAAGGCUGCCCCCGGUCCAGCCAACGUCCCCGUGCAGCAGCAUUUUCUGUUAAAAUGCAGAGCUGAAUUCCUGUCCUGAAAGAAGUGGUGAAGAACAUCUGUGCUUUACCUGAAGCACUGGUAAAGUUUGAAGAUCCCUAAUGGUGCACAGCACACGUGCUCUGAAGUGCAUCUCCGCUAGGAUGGGCUGAGAAAGAUUUUCAAGACACAAUUGGAACAUUUGAAUCUGUGGUACUGAAAGAAAAGCCCUGGUCACCAAGCAACUGAAGUUAGAAAUGGAAAUUAUACAGCUGAUUUCUAGAGGUGGGCAAAUACCCCACAGUGCCCAGCAAAGUCCCAGAGAGAUGAGUGGUGAAAGGAGAAAAGGAUAAACCCCCACAUGGUGGUCUCAGGAGCGUAAGACUUGUAGAAAGCACGAGAUUGAAAGAAAGGAAGCUUCUGAAAGAGGAACUCUCUGCCUAAAAUCAAUUGUAACUAAAAACCCGAAAAUUGAUGGAUUUACACCAGGGCUGAAAGCAGUUUAUGGCACGAUACCUCAGAAAUCUCUAGUAUGGUUUCCUAGGUCUAGUCUGGCCUUCUUUUCCCUCACCUCUUCCUUCUCCUCUCGCUUCUUUUAAACUUCAAAACUCAAAACAAUCCCUGUUAGCAGUCGGGAUCAGCAUCACUGGGAAGUUGGAGGUUUUUGCAGCUGGACUUGAAGAUGUUGGAAAAAUAUCUGAGAAAGGAUUUUCCUGCUAACACUCACCAAGGAAACAUAAAGGAAGCAGUGGUCACUUUGCCUUCCCGAGUUAAGGACACCUUGGGAAGACUCUGGCAGUUGUUGCUGUUUGAUGCCUGCUCUAAGAUCCAGCUCCAUGGACAAAUGCAAACAUGGGCCACAUGCUGCCACUUCUCCUUAACAGAAGUAAGGAAAUCAGGAAUUACUGUUAUCUCCCUUUGGCAAACAGGGACUGGAAGGCAGAGCUCAGGCAACACUUCUGGCUGUCAGUGACAGAAGCUGCCCAAUCCCUUUGGUCCCUGUGGGGUCCCUUUCCUCACGCUGGGAUAAGCAUUUGUGCAUCUGUAUUUUGGAACUGACUGAGGAACUUAUCCAUCUGAAAACUAAUCCAGGGAGGAAAAAAAAAAACAAAACAACAAACAACAGUUUUUAUUUCAGCCACAUCAGGUUCCUGAUUUUGGUUUGCAGGCAGCCUGGCUGGAUGGGACUGAGCAGCCAGGACAGAGGGAAUGCAGUGCAGGAAUUUUGGAUGGAAUUACACAAAAUCACAGAAGGAACCUCCAAAAGACAAUGUGGGUCUCCAGAAUCCACAGAUGCCUCUGUCUGAUGUAAAUGCCACCAAUGUCCAAACCCAGCAGAUGUUUGCUGCCUGGGCACCCUGCUCUGAGCCACACAAGGUUUCUUGUGCGUGGGCAGUGGAUCUCAGAAGUAUCUGGUGGAAUUAACUGAGCCUCUGCCCAGCCAAAAAUGAAUUAUUUUGGGGUGGAGGCUGCAAGGGGAUUAUUUCAGCAGCCAUCCUAAUGAAGGUGAGAUCAGACAGGUUAAAAAUAAGCGUAGACACAAGGAAGGUGUGGGACAGGACGGGAAGGGAACAGCGGUGGGAUGACGCCCUGCAUUCAGGAUUAUGGCAAGAGUUUUUUCCAGAAGGAGAGACAGAACUACAGAGAUAUUUUGCAGGGUUAGCACGUCUUCCUCUGUCUGAUCCACUCUCUCUUUUCCACUUUUCCCUCGGUGGCAGGUAAUAAAAUGCCUGCUGGUACCCCCCAUGACUGGAGGUACCCGGAGUGGUUCAGCCCAUCGUGAGUGCUGUGCCAAUCAUUUAACAAUUCCCACAGCUGCCUUUGUGAGAAGCCUCUCUCUUAAGCCUCUGGUUUAAGAAUUUAGAGUAAUCAUGUAAAAAUGAUACCCCUGUGCUCUAUGAUCCGCUGAAUCUCACUAAUGCCGGAUCCCAGAAGAGGGCUUAUUAAUGAAAAGAUGCAAUGCCUCUCUCUCUGCUCAUGUUUCACAUGAAUAUCUCUCAUGGAUUCGGCAGUAAAGCGCACUGCUGAUAAAGUGAGUAUAAUGAACCUCCGUGCUCCACGAGAAUGGAAUCUCGGCCUGAUGAAGUGGUUACCUGCUCCACUUCCCAGCACAAUGGCAGGCUCCAGAGGCACAGGGAGAAGCACCCGGCUGCUGCGGGAACAGCGGCGCGGCACCGCCAGCUCCCAAAUCCGGGCUCUGCUCUGCCAUCGAUGCCUUGGGCUCUGUGACGAGAUCAGGAGUUUGGAAGGGAGGAGCUCGUAAUUAGCUGAGAGAAAUGAAAUUAUGUUUUACUGUAAAUCACUGAGUCAACAGACAAAAGAAGGGUUUUAAAGGGACAGCAGCACCUUGAGGCUACUCUGUGUCCUUCCAACAUCACACAGGAGUCAAAAACCCCGCCGGCUCUCAACACUUCAACAGCUUCCCAGCAAGGACGAGCACCAAGUGUUCUGCAAACAGCAGGAUCCUGUUUCCAGCCCCUGACAUCUCACUAAUUUUCAAGAAGUCACUGAAAAUACUUUCAAGUAGUGCAUCUGUCCUGAAGCUCCUCUGCUAACAGCAGCAGAUUCUGCCAUCGAGAAUUUCAAAUUGUUAUAAAUUCUUUUUCUGUAGGUGCUUGGAAUCAAACAAACAAAGCAACCCCCCACACUAACAAGAAGAAAGGUGGAUUCCAUGUCUAUCCAUGGGAAAAAGAAUGUGUGUGACUACCCAGAAAGCACUGUGAGGCAAAAAAAAGGAACAGGUAAAACACUGUAGGCAGCAGGGCAAUCAGGCUCUAUACUUCUCAGAGGCCCUCUGUGAUUUAUGAUUUCCAUUAAAGGGAACACAUGCCUCACAAAUUACCCCUAAUCUUAGCAGCAGUAGGAUGGUACAGGACAAGCAACAGGAGUCUGGAAGGUGUCACGGGAGUAUCCCAAAACAACCAGAGAGACCAGCAUCGAGAACCAGACUGUACCUGCUCAGUGUGUCUCUGAUACCCGGCUCACCUUUGCAAAGCCAGCCCUAUGCAGCCAAAUCCAAACUUCCCAAACCUGAACACAGAAAACUAUCACAGAAUCUCAGCACUGAAGAGUGAACAUAAUCCCAUCUCAAACCCUGGCUGUCAUCCUCUGCAUGUCACCAACCCAUGGAAAAGAGAGCACCGUCCCUCAUUUUGGGGGAUUCUCUGGUUAGAAAGAACUCAAACACCCUAAAACUCGGCAGAGCCUUAAAGCUGGAGCUGCAUUUUGCACGAGCACCUUGGGCACAGCUCCCUGUAUUAUUCAUUCCUAAAUGCCCCAUGUGUUGUCUUUAGAGAGGGAGGCAGCUACACCACCUUUCUGUGUGUGCUUUCCUCCCUUGGCUUUUACAUUUCUUCCACACGCAGAAUGUACUUAACUCGCUGCUUAUUGAAUGAAGGAUUAGUAUUAUUUUCCUUCCUCCAGUGAACUUUGUUUCACUUCAUCCUGCAUACAUUUGGCUGGGCUGUGUUUUCCUGCCAGCACACCACUGUUCAGCAAACUACCGUGCUUAAGGCCAGCCAGCUAACACAGUGAUUCCUUUUUACUCCCGAGGAGUGUUUCCGUAAUCAUGGCUGUGCUGGGGGAUGAAUGACAGCUUACAGCAAGAAGCACAAAACGCACUUCCAGAAGCUUUGCUGAGCUGGGACAGAGCUAAAGCGGCUUCAAACUGCCAAGAUAUUUGAGACAUCCACAGGAAGACGCUUUUGGAAAUAGAGCCUGCUCCUUAGCUCCUCUGCUAGCACAAACGCUGACCAAGGACUGGGAAGGGAGCGACUUCCUCAUGCCCUUCUUUCUGUGCUGUCACAUCUGACAUUGAGUUAGACUGCGAGGAAAAAUUAGUAUAAAACUAGUAGGUAACAAAUUUGCAAUGGCUCUGUAUUUAUGGCCUCUCUUUUUUGUUUAUUGUUGUGGUUAAAGUUGGUUAUGUUAAGGAGAAAGGAAGAGUUUUUUUCCAACUCUUGGAAAAACAAGCUGGAAGUUCCUGUUCACAUCACUGCAGCAAUGUAGACUUCUCUGGUGGAAGUGUUUUCUUUUUCUGGUGGAAUUAUAGCUCAAGUCCUGCUAGGUAGUUCCUCUCUUUGUUCCUGUGAGCCAAGAUCAUGCUAUGCCAUGCUUAUAAUAUAACCUCGCACUAAAAAGGAGAUUACAAAGGGGGCAAAAUGCCCUCGAGGGUUCCCCUUUAUCAGAACCUUCCCUGUCAGUUUGCCUUCUCAUUUCCUGAGCUCUUGUCUGAUUAUUAGUGUACUGACAGAAUAAAAAUAACCUCAUAUUCCUACAUGAAUCAUAAA